AAGUUAGACUGUUUGAGAUUGCUCUUGUUUUUUUGAGGUGGCCUUGUAUCGAUAUAUCUCUCUAAACUGUUUUAGUCAUGUUUCAAAGAUAUUUAAAUGUGUUUUUAUUUGCAUUUGUCACAAAAUAUUUAUUUCCUCUUUAAUUUCUUUAUUGACCCAUUGGUUGUUUAGUAACAUGUUGGUUAGCCUCCAUGUGUUCAUGUCUUUUUCCAGUUUUUCCUUGUAAUUGGUUUGUAGUUUCAUGACAUUUUCAUCAGAAAAGAUACUUGAAAUGAUUUCAAUCCUCCUAAAUUUAGUAAGAUUUGUUUUGUGACCUAACAUAGGAUCUAUUCUGGAGAAUGUUUCAAGUGCACUUGAAGAGAAUAUGUAUUCUGUUGAUUUGGGAUGGAGUGUUUUGUGUAUAUCCGUUAAGACCAUCUGGUCUAAUGUGUCACUCAGAGCCACCAUUUCCUUAUUGACUUUCUUCCUAGAGGAUCUAUCUAUUGAUGUAAGUGGGGUGUUAUAGUUCCCCGAUAGUAUUGCAUUACUGUCAAUUUUUUCCUUUAUGUCUGUUAAUAUUUUUUGUUGUUUUUAGGUGCUCUUCAGUGGAUACAUAGAUAUUUAUACUUGUUAUAUUUUCUUGUUGGAUUGAUUCAUUUACCAUUAUUAGUACCCACCCUUCUUUAUCUCUUGCUAUAGUCUUUGUUUUAAAGUGUAUUUGGCUUAAGUAUUGCUACCCUGGCAUUUUUUUAUUGUUCAUUUCGAUUUGCAUGGUGUUUUUCCAUCCCUGCAGAUUGUAUGUGUCUUUAAGUUUGAGGUCUCUUGUAAGCAGCAUAAAGAGGAGUGGUUUUUUUUUUAUCUAUUACAUCAUUUUAUGGUUUUUGAUUGGAAUAGUCUAUACUUAAAGCAAUUAUUGAUCAGCAUGUAUGUGUUGCCAUUUUGUUACUUGUCUUCUAGCUUUUUCUGUUCCUUUCUUCUUUUGCUCCUUUCCAUUUUAAUUUGAUGACUAUGCUAUGUUUGGAUUACUUUCUUUUUUAAUUUUUGUGUAUGUAUUUUAGAUGCCUGGUUGGUUGUUACCAUGAGGUUAACAUUUGUUUUAAGUUGAUGGUUGCAUCAAAGUUCAAAAGCAUCUAAAAACAUUACAUAUUUACUUCUCUUUACUUGAUGUCAUAUUUUAUUUUUAUGUAUACAUUUAUUAUUAUAAAAUUGAUCUUUUUUACAUUUCCUAUUAACCUUAUAAGAGAUUGAUUUACUACUUUUACUAUAUGUUUGCUUUUACCAAUAUAAUUUUACUUUCAGUAUUUUAUCCUACUUACAGCCCGUAUUUUUGUACUUAAAUUUUUUGGAGCACCUGGGUGGCUCAGUUGGUUAAGUGUCUGCCUUCAGCUCAUGACGUGAUCACAGGGUCCUGGAAUGAAGCCCCACAUAGGGCUUCCUGCUCAGCAAGGAGUCUGCUUCUUCCUGUGCCCCUAGCCCUCCACUUGUGCUCUUUCUCAUGCUGUCCCAAGUAAAUAAAUAAAAUUUUUUUUUAAGUUUAACAUUUAUUGUAAGGCCAGUUUAGUGAUGACGAACUUUACUUCAUUUAUUUGGGAACCUCUUAAUCUCUCCUUCAGAUCUGAAUGAUAAGCUUUCUUGUUGAAUUAUUCUUGGUUUCUAUUUAUGUGUGUCAUCUUCAAUUUUCAUCAUUGUCUUACAGUUUUCAGUGUACACAUCUUUUACCUCCUUGGUUAAUUUAUUCCUAGACAUCUUAUUUCCUUAAUGCGAUUAUAUAUGAAAUUGCUUUCUUCUCUUUUUGAUAGAUUGUCAUUAGUGUAUAGAAAUGCAACAGAUUUUUGUAUAUUGAUUUUGUAUCCUGAAAUUUUACUGACUUUGUUGAUUACUUUUAAUAGUUUUUAGUAAAAUCUUUAGAUUUUCUGUAAAUAAUGUCAUCUGUAAAAACUGAUCGUUUUUCUUCUUCCUUUCUGAUUUGGAUGUGUUUUACUCAUUUUCCUAAUUUGUUGCUCUGGUUAGGACUGCCAAUACCAUGUUAAGUAAAAGUGGCAAGAGUGGACAUCCUUUGUUUGCUCCUGAUCUAAGGAAAAGCUUUUAGUUUCUCUGCAAUGAGCAUAAUGUUAGCUGUGGGAUUGUUAUAUUGGCCUUUAGUAUGUUGAACUAUGUUCCCUCUAAAUCUACUUUCUUGAGAAUUUUUACCAUUAAUGUAUAUUGAUCUUAGGUAAAUGCUUCACCUUCCUCUGUUAAGAUGACUAUAUAAUUUCUUCAUUUCAUUAAUGUGGUAUAUUACAUUGAUUUAUUUGUGGAUGUUGCACCAUCCAUGCAUGGCUGAACUAAAUCAAACUGAUCAUGAUGUAUAAUCCUUUAAUUAGGUAACAUUUGAUUAAGGUGGCAGGUUUAUCAGUGAUAUUGGCCUAUAAUUUUCUUGUGGUUCCUUGUCUGGUUUUGGUAUCACGGUAAUGCUGGCUUUCUAAAGUGAUUAUUGGCUUUUGUAAAAUGAAUUUUGAAGUGUUACUUCUUCUUUCACAGAAAGCAUACAUAUAAAAACUCAUUUAUAAAGUCUAUUUCAAGUUGAUAACAACUUAAAUUUGAACGCAUUUGAAGUCACGGUUUGUGAUGUCACAAUUUAUAUCUUUAUCUUGUGUAUACCUUAACUAAUAUAGUUAAUUUUUAUUAUUUUUGUUUUUUAACCUUUAUACCAGCUUCAUAAAUCAUUGAUUCUCCAUCUUUACAACAUUAUUACCACAUAUUUACCUUUUGCUGUGGGAUACAUAUUUUUUCUGUACUCACUAGUGCCUGUUCAUUUCAACUCAAACACAUUCCUUUAACUUUUCUUGUAAGGCCAGACUAUGGUGAAGAAGUCCUUAGAUUUUUAUUCUCUGGAAAACUUUUUAUCACUCCUUUAGUUCUGAGUGACAUCUUCACUGGGUAAGAUACAGCUAAAUGACCUAUUAGUUACUACAUCAAUAUCAUGAAUUGAUGUCCAUAGUUGUUGAAUCCAUGCAUCAUUUUCAUCCCUGUUUAAAUAGCCACUUCAGUCAUUAGCUUUUUGAGCAAACAGUAGUGGAUAGAACAAAUGUCUACCUUAUCAGAGAGGCACUCCUCUAUAGUGGAAGCCCUUUGGUGAUUAUACACAUGGAACAUAACUCUUCUCACAUCCUGGGUUUUGGAAGUUCACAUACUUUCUUUGGAUCUUCUUGGCACUAGUUUUCUGAUCUGUGCCUUCAAAAUUGCUGACCAAACUAUUAGCCACUGCUCAGAAUCAUAAUUGAUUCAUACCUAAGCGUCCUUACUCUUCCGGGCAAAGUAGACCACUAGAUAUAAAAUUGGGAAGUUUUUAUUCCCCAGUGACCUCAGGGCUUCAUAUGAGUCUAAUUAUCCCACAGAACCACUCAGGCCAGGUGUUAGCAAAUCAUCUAGUAAUAUGUAUAAAUCUGUCUUAACCUGUUCAUAAGGAUUGUCUGUGCAGUAUACGUGAAGAAGAGGUGGCAGGUAGUCUUAGGUGCCUCAGAAGGUACCUUGGGAGUAUGAGCCACCUGGUUUAGCAAUUUAAUUGAACAGACUCUAUUCCAAUUCAUAUAUUCUUCCACUAGAUGCUGAAAUGCUGCUGAGUACCUCCAAAAGUGAACAUUGGUUACAUGGUACUCAUUUUUUAACAGGAGUUCAGAUAUUUUGGUCACAUGGAAUACUGGGUCAGCUAUCACUACCCACUAGAAAAUCAGGAAUGAUUUCUCAAUAUGAGAAUUUUCCGGUGAGGAUUUUUUCUUUGAAAUAGUAAAGGUUUCCAUUCUUCUAUAGAUUUUUAAAAACUUCCAUAGUGCAUCUUCGUCUGCCACAGACUCAACAAAUACUAUUGGUUCACCUGGGUCAUAAAUGCAGAGGACUAUUUCUUUGCAUAGCAUGCUGAACCAAGUAGAAAAUUUUCUCAGGCUCUGGGUCAAACUCAAAGGUGACAGGUUUACUAGUUCCUUGAUAAAUAAAUAGACUCAAUAACACAGCAAAUAUACAACAAGGCCUCCAAAGCAUUAGCUGUGUUUU
rnacentral:lncRNA from 1 species